UCUAUAGCUCAGUCGGUAGAGCAUGAGACUCUUAAUCUCAGAGUCAUGAGUUAAACCCCAUGUUGGGGAA